rnacentral:rRNA from 1 species
UACGAAGGGGGCUAGCGUUGCUCGGAAUCACUGGGCGUAAAGCGCACGUAGGCGGAUCUUUAAGUCAGGGGUGAAAUCCUGGAGCUCAACUCCGGAACUGCCUUUGAUACUGGGGAUCUCGAGUCCGGGAGAGGUGAGUGGAACUGCGAGUGUAGAGGUGAAAUUCGUAGAUAUUCGCAAGAACACCAGUGGCGAAGGCGGCUCACUGGCCCGGUACUGACGCUGAGGUGCGAAAGCGUGGGGAGCAAACAGG